rnacentral:tRNA from 1 species
GGCACUGUGGCGGAGUGGUCUAACGCGUGUGACUCGAACAACUACGAAUGAAAAAAAUAGUAGUUUAUGUCUAUCACAUCUCUUCGGAGGCGCCCGUUCGAAUCGGGCCAGUGUCG